UAAGAAGAGAGAUAAUAUUGAUAGAGUGG
rnacentral:piRNA from 1 species